rnacentral:RNase_P_RNA from 1 species
CAGAAAAUAUAUGGUCGCUGUUUCCAUAAUACCCUUGGGGGUUGUGGAAAGAGAGGAAAGUCCGGGCUCCUUCGGAAAUGACGCCGGUUAACCACCGGGGGUAACAUUGGUGACGGUGUUGCUACAGCUAGCGCAACAGAAAGUAAACCGCCUUGAUUUUCAGGGUAAGGGUGAAAUGGUGGGGUAAGAGCCCACCGGGCAGACGGCACCGGAUGUCGCAGGGCAAGCCUCGUCAGGAGCAAGACCAAGCAGUAGCCGCAACUCCGAUAUGAAAGGUUCGCCUUUCACGGUUACGGGUAGGUCGCUGGAGAUAUAGGGAAAUCUGUAUUCUAGAUAGAUGGCCAUGUUUAGCUACCGUCCUUUGGGUGGUUAGCUGAAUGACAGAACCCGGCUUAUUAUAUUUUCUGUCUU